ensembl:lncRNA
UGAAUAGGCAUUGACAAUAAAGAAAAAUAGCUACUCACUUGCUAGAUUGUUUUUGCCAUUGUUUUGUCCUUGAGUUGCUGUAAAAAUAAUAAAUUAUGCAUAGAUAUAAAUGCAUUGCACAAAGAAAAUAAGUAAAUUUUUUGGUGAAUAGCAAAUUUAUGAUCUAAUAUACUGUAGUGUUUUUUUUUACGUUUUUUUUUUUUUUUUUACAUAAAUUGCUUUAGGUGGUUAAUACAAAUAAUUUAUUCUGGCAGACGAUGACAGUUUUAAGAGAGUGCUAGAGCACAUACAUACUUCCUGUGUUAGAAUGACUCAGUAUGAUUAAAGUGAGAGGUUAAAACAGAAUUUGCACAUUGCUCAUUUGUGCAAAAUCAAAUGUGAUAUUUUUAUGAUGAACAGCAUAAUCAGUGAUCAUUAUGCUUGCACAGUAUUGUCUCGCUUACUGGUUUUUUUGCUUGUUGUGCUUUUGAUCAUAUUUUUUGUGCUUGAUUGCGCAACAGUUUUCAGAGGUUUUUCUGUGGUGUAAUACUUGGUCUGCGGAUGUUCUGAGGGUGGAGGAGUAGGUGAUUCUGUUGGCCAAAAAGGGAAAAAAAAUAAAUAAAUCAAAAAUCAUCUAACAUUCUUUGGUUAGAGUUUCCCAUUUAUGUAUCAGUACUGAAGUAAGCAGCAUAGCAUAUAAACUGGCUUACAGUUUUUCUACCAAUUGUACCAUUUUGCUGCAAAAAGUGUCUGGACACUUGAUUGACAGCUGAUAAAACAACAGGAAAAAGCUACCUGAUUGUCCAUCUGACGUAGUAUUCCCAUCCGUUGUGUUUGACAGGUCGACCGUGGAGUUUGGAGUGGUAAAGUUGUCUAGAAAGCCCUCUGGUGUUUUAUUGAUUAGGGUGGUGUUGUCAACAGACAUUGAAACUGGAGCAGUGAUGAUUUCUGUGCUGCUUAUCGUUGUUGUUGCCUCAUUUUCAACAGCAAAGACAAAUAAGGCACCUGCAUUGUACCCAUUAAAGGUUUAGUCAGGUCAUGAGGAACAUAGUUAUUACAAUCUACAAAUCUGUAAAUUACAAGUACAUCUACAAUAAUGGCUGAAUCUACCCUUAAAUCAAGUGCUCAGUCUGAAACCGCAAUAACUUCCACUUCUGUGACCAGUACAGGAUGCAGCAGACAGUUACCCAAAAAAGGCACAUAAGGAACUUGUGCACUUUUGUAAAGCCCCGUUUAUUGCAUUUGCAUUAUUCAACUAAUUAAAGGAAACCGG